AGCGAACGCUGGCGGCAGGCUUAACACAUGCAAGUCGAACGCCCCGCAAGGGGAGUGGCAGACGGGUGAGUAACACGUGGGAACGUACCCUUUGGUUCGGAAUAACUUGGGGAAACUCAAGCUAAUACCGGAUAAGCCCUUAUGGGGAAAGGUUUACUGCCGAAGGAUCGGCCCGCGUCUGAUUAGCUAGUUGGUGAGGUAAUGGCUCACCAAGGCGACGAUCAGUAGCUGGUCUGAGAGGAUGACCAGCCACACUGGGACUGAGACACGGCCCAGACUCCUACGGGAGGCAGCAGUGGGGAAUAUUGGACAAUGGGGGCAACCCUGAUCCAGCCAUGCCGCGUGAGUGAUGAAGGCCUUCGGGUUGUAAAGCUCUUUUACCCGGGACGAUAAUGACUGUGCCGGGAGAAUAAGCCCCGGCUAACUUCGUGCCAGCCGCCGCUGUAA
rnacentral:rRNA from 1 species